rnacentral:rRNA from 1 species
AGGCGCAGUGAGGAUCUUAGACAUGGGGGAACCCUGAUCUACCCUGCCGCGUGAGUGACRAAGGCCUUAGGGUCGUAAAGCUCUUUCGCUGGGGAARAUAAUGACGGUACCCAGCAAAGAARUCCGGCUAACUCCGGAAAGAAGCA